GGCUUGGUAUUAAAAUUAUAAAAAGCAAAGUAACCUUUGACAUGCAUUUACUAUGUCUACUGUGUAUCCUUGUGUUGUGUGUGACGUGCACGUGCGUCCCAGACAGGAGGCACUGCAGUUUGAUUCUUGUGACCGGUGGCAGCAUCGUACUUGCAAUUCUGGUAAGUCUUUAUAGUAAUAAUUGAUUUAGGAGGAACGAUGUUUACACAUAAGGUAAACGAGGUUUGCACAAAACGUAUAAGUUGUUUGCACAUAAUGUAAAAGGCAUUUGCACAUGACGUAAUGAAUGGUCACAGAGAGUAUCAAUUGUUUGGCAAAACGCAUAGGAAUAAUACCAUGAUGUAUUGUGUUUUUCACUGGAGAUACAUAUGUAUUAACACAACAUAACGCCAAAAGACUAUAAUAUCAUUAGGUUUACAUAGAACAAAG
rnacentral:lncRNA from 1 species